rnacentral:rRNA from 1 species
AUUGAACGCUGGCGGCAGGCCUAACACAUGCAAGUCGAACGAGUGGCGGACGGGUGAGUAAUGUCUGGGAAACUGCCUGAUGGAGGGGGAUAACUACUGGAAAGGGUAGCUAAUACCGCAUACUAUCAGCUGAGCCCAGGUGGGAUUAGCUCGUUGGUGGGGUAAGGGCUCACCAAGGCGACGAGCCGUAACUGGUCUGAGAGGAUGACCAGCCACACUGGAACUGAGACACGGUCCAGACUCCUACGGGAGGCAGGAGUGGGGAAUAUUGCACAAUGGGCGAAAGCCUGAUGCAGCCAUGCCGCGUGUGUGAAGAAGGUCUUCGGAUUGUAAAGCACUUUAAGUGGGGAGGCGUUACCCGCAGAAGAAGCACCGGCUAACUCCGUGCCAGCAGCCGCGGUAAUAC